rnacentral:lncRNA from 1 species
AGACUUUGUAUUAUGAGGACAUUAUCUUGGUGCUUCGAUCCAAUGAGCAAAGGAAGAGGUUGAUCAAGGAAGGUGUUCCCCAGGAAGGCUUGGCCGUAGGGGAGAGAUCAGAUAGAAGAUGGGACAGAUGCAAGUCUAGGGGAUGGUUAAAGUUCUGAAAGGGCAAGAAAGGAGUAAAAUGCUUCAAGUACCAGAAGUUUGAUCAUUUCAAGCUGGACUGUCCACUGUGAAAGAAGAAGCAAAGAGAAAAGGCAGCAGCUGCAGCAUCUGAUUCACUGAGUAUGGUGGC